rnacentral:rRNA from 1 species
UGACCUAAACCCUCACCAGAGUAACAAUUGGAGGGCAAGUCUGGUGCCAGCAGCCGCGGUAAUUCCAGCUCCAAUAGCGUAUAUUAAACUUGUUGCAGUUAAAAAGCUCGUAGUUGAAUUUCUGCGUUAUCGAGUUAUUGACUCUUGUCUUUAAUCGAUUUCGCUUUUGGGAUUUAUCCCUUUUUACUUUGAGAAAAUCAGAGUGUUUCAAGCAGACUUUUGUCUUGAAUACUUCAGCAUGGAAUAAUAGAGUAGGACUUUGGUUCUAUUUUGUUGGUUUUUGAACCUUAGUAAUGGUUAAUAGGAACGGUUGGGGGCAUUCGUAUUUAACUGUCAGAGGUGAAAUUCUUAGAUUUGUUAAAGACGAACUACUGCGGAAGCAUUUGCCAAGGACGUUUCCAUUAAUCAA